rnacentral:rRNA from 1 species
GGGGAAUAUUGCACAAUGGGCGCAAGCCUGAUGCAGCGACGCCGCGUGCGGGAUGACGGCCUUCGGGUUGUAAACCGCUUUUGUUGGGGAGCAAGCCUUCGGGUGAGUGUACCCUUCGAAUAAGCACCGGCUAACUACGUGCCAGCGGCCGCGGUAAUACGUAGGGUGCAAGCGUUAUCCGGAAUUAUUGGGCGUAAAGAGCUCGUAGGCGGUUCGUCGCGUCCGGUGUGAAAGUCCAUCGCUUAACGGUGGAUCUGCGCCGGGUACGGGCGGGCUGGAGUGCGGUAGGGGAGACUGGAAUUCCCGGUGUAACGGUGGAAUGUGUAGAUAUCGGGAAGAACACCAAUGGCGAAGGCAGGUCUCUGGGCCGUUACUGACGCUGAGGAGCGAAAGCGUGGGGAGCGAAC